UACGGGGGGAGCAAGCGUUGUUCGGAUUUACUGGGCGUAAAGCGCACGUAGGCGGAUCGUUAAGUCGGGGGUGAAAUCCUGGAGCUCAACUCCAGAACUGCCUUCGAUACUGGCGAUCUCGAGUCCGGAAGAGGUGAGUGGAACUCCUAGUGUAGAGGUGGAAUUCGUAGAUAUUAGGAAGAACACCAGUGGCGAAGGCGGCUCACUGGUCCGGUACUGACGCUGAGGUGCGAAAGCGUGGGGAGCAAACAGG
rnacentral:rRNA from 1 species